CGCUUGUUUCGUUACUCUUCUCAAAAGGAGAGAGUCACUUAAAUGACAAAACGUAACCUUGACCAGGAGUCAGUUUCAAACACUUGCAGAACAUAAACUUUCAGAACAAAGAAGAAGAUCACCAACACUGCCAUAAAGGUUGCCUUCAAAGCGAAUAUGGACCCAACACUAUUCAUUAGUUCUGUUAUUAGCUGCUUUGGGCCUUACACUACGGUCACUCUAAAUGAUGGCAAUGGAUACAACCCUUCCUUAGGUUUCUUCCCUGCACCACAUGAUGGAGUUUAUGUCUUCUCCUGCACGGUCUACUCGUUUGUGGAACUGAACCAACGACAAAGUUUUCUCAUAGGUCCAGAUGAUGAAGAAUGGGGAGGUGAUGACAAGCAUUUUGGAGGACAAUCGAGAGGAGGGACAAGACAGUGGU